rnacentral:hammerhead_ribozyme from 1 species
CUACUGAUGAAGAGACUUAGAAUAGGACGAAACACAUGUCCAGUAC